GGAGAGAUGCGUGAGCGGUUGAAACGGGUGCUCUCGAAAAGCACUAGAGCCUGCAAAGGUUCUCGGGAGUUCGAAUCUCCCUCUCUCCGCCA
rnacentral:tRNA from 1 species